rnacentral:misc_RNA from 1 species
UUUCCGUAGGUGAACCUGCGGAAGGAUCAUUAACGAGUUUGUUUGAGACGGGUUUGAUGCUAAUAUUUGUGCUCACCUGGAUCAACAAGUCCACUCAUACCUUCAACACCUGUGAACUUAUCAUUUAUUUACAAACACUAUUAAUUGUUAAUGGAACGUGUUAUUAUGCAAAUGUUAAUACAACUUUCAACAACGGAUCUCUUGGCUCUCGCAUCGAUGAAGAACGCAGC